UACAGAGGUCUCAAGCGUUGUUCGGAUUCAUUGGGCGUAAAGGGUGCGUAGGUGGCGCCGUAAGUCAGGUGUGAAAUUUCGGAGCUUAACUCCGAAACUGCAUUUGAUACUGCGGUGCUUGAGGACUGGAGAGGAGACUGGAAUUUACGGUGUAGCAGUGAAAUGCGUAGAGAUCGUAAGGAGGACCAGUGGCGAAGGCGGGUCUCUGGACAGUUCCUGACACUGAGGCACGAAGGCCAGGGGAGCAAACGGG
rnacentral:rRNA from 1 species